CAUCCGGUUAGAGCCACUCAGCAGCACCGUUCAGUUCUCUACGGAAAGUGCACGCUCUUCCCGGCGGCUCCGGGGAAAGUGGGGAGCCGUCCCCUAGGUCUGCGCGCAGGCAACAAUCACAGGUUUGAAAGACAAGCCACCCUAACAGUAAGAGACGAAUGAAGGAUGGGAAGAGGCAAGUGACAGUCGGACGGUGUGCCUGUGUGUCAGAAGAGGGCACCAGAUCUCACUACUGAUGUUUGUGAGCCACCAUGUGGUUGCUGGGAAUUGAACUCAGGACCUCUGGAAGAGCAGUCAGUGCUCUUAACCUCUGAGCCAUCUCUCCAGCCCUGAAACUACUUUGAAUCCAGAUCUUCUGAGGUGGGAAGAUACAGCUUCCGCUGGCAGCCUACAGAAAGACCAUGGAAGAAAGGAGGUUGCUCUUUCCCCUCAGUGCUCUCGCUCUCACUGGCAACUCUACUCCUUCACUGAUAUUAGAGCCUGUUUCUUUGGAACUGUGACAUAUACUGAAGACAAGGUGAGACAUCCAGCCUAAUGGACUGAAAGACUGGUGGAUUCUUGGACCUUCUGUUGGUAGACAGCCAUUGUGACUGGU